GACUCGGUGCCCUAGACCGCCGGAAAACCAGAAGCUGGAGAAGAUGACAACAAGCGACAAUAAUUUGACAGUGGGAUUGAAGAGUCUUGGUCUCCAGCAGCGGCUACUCCUUUCGGCGGCACUAUCCCUAGUUGUGGAUCAAUAGCGGCUGUGAAUUGAGGGAUAUGGAUUUGGUGGACAGCAGCCGUUGGAGUUCAUAUGAGUGGAAUAUAUGGAU